GCGUUGACAUUUUUACCAGCGGCCCACAUACCGGAACCAUUAUGCAAAAUUCUGGAAAACAUAAAUAAUCCUGAAGUUUUCCGAAAAAUGAAGAAAUUCUUCAACUAUUACAUCAAGCAGUGGAUCCGUGCUCGAGAACCAGAGGAGUGGUCACAAUUAAAUCAUGUUCGAAGGACGAAUAAUGCCACUGAGUCCUGGAACCGUGACCUGAAUGAGAAAUUCGGGAAACUUCCAGGAAUGUGAAAAUUUACAAGAAAGCUGGUCGAAGAGCAAAAUAUUGCUCAUAGACGGUAAACAGCAAUUAUGGCCCUGAAAACUGUGCAGCGAGGCCAAAUAGAAAAUCGGCGAAAAUUGUCUAAAAUGAAUGAUCUAAGUGAGCAAUUAACACUGGGUCUAAUUACUCCCAUGCAGUUUUUGGAAUUCGCUACACAGCUCAUCAGUUUUCGUAGAAUUACGGCUGAGCUCGAUUUGUCGAAUUUGCUAAUGACUGACGAGAUAAUUACAGAAAACUCUAGACCAUACAGUCGGAAUUCCACUAAUAUGAAGCCUUCUACUUGUUAGUGGACUCUAACCCAGUUUUCCUGCGCAAAAACUUUUAACUUUACUUUCAGCCUACUG